AGCCAGGCCAGCUCCCGUUCCAACACCUCUACCUUAGGGACAUCUGCAGAAAGGCUGGGCAGUGGCAAAAAAGGUAGCCAGUGAAAGGAGGGCUGAUAGACAGGUGCUUGGCCUCAAGAGCCCUGAAUCUGAGCCUCAUCACUCCCUCUGUCUUACUGCAGGGGGCCUUGGAAAAAUGGCCAAUCUCUUAGACCCUCACUUUUAUCAUCUGUAAAAUGGCACUGAGGCGUCCUGUCCUUCUGACUCCUCUGGUUAUGCUAGGAAGCUGAUAAAGACAUGGGCGUCAAAGCAUGAGGCAGAGCAUAAAAGUCACUGACUGAGGGCAUCCCUGCUACUUUGUGAAAGGAACAGGAGGGUAAGGAAGGAGACACAGGGAAAGGACAAGGCAGGGUAGCAAGAGCACAUAGAGAAGGAUGAGGAUGAGACCGGCCCUCUCUCACCUUCCCACAGGACAGACCGAUCACUCCCUCACCCAGCCCAGGGGCCAGAACACGAGAAAGAGUAUUCAGUGACUGAGGCACUCCUCUGCCCCCUCUGGAGAAGGAAGAGAGGACAGGGUCCCUUCCAGGCUUUGAGAAGGUCAAAGCUCAAGAAGAUCUGAGGUUAUCUAGUCCAGCCCCAUUGGGAAACUGAGGCUCAAGGAAGGAAAGAGCCUCCCUCCAAGCCUCCAGAUACCUCUUGCACUGCUGGAUCCUUUACUUCUUCAUUUAAGGAAAGCAGUCCUUGGCCCGUCCAAGGAUCCAAAUCGAACGGAGUCUCCUAAUUGUGAGGACUGUGCACUCUCUCUGAAGGCCUGGGUGCCCCUCAGAGGUUCUGCAAAGGCCUCUCUGAGUCCAGGGAGUCUGCUGGGAGAGGUGAUAUGGGGGAGGCCUCCCCCAUGCUUCCUGGAGUUUAUCUGUGCCGACAGGUCUGCGUAAGAUGUGUUUCAGUCCUGGCUCUCCUUAAGAAGCUACCUUUUAAGAUUCCUUUUUUUUUUUUCUUGGACUGAGACCAUCAAAAGGGAAGAAUUAGGAGGGUUCCUUUGGUUUGCUCAGGUCCCGGCCUGAAAAACAUGGCUCUGACAUCCA
rnacentral:lncRNA from 1 species